rnacentral:rRNA from 1 species
GAUGAACGCUAGCGGCAGGCUUAACACAUGCAAGUCGAGGGGUAUUAGGAGCUUGCUCCUAAGAGACCGGCGCACGGGUGCGUAACGCGUAUGCGACCUACCUUGAACAGGGGGAUAGCCCAGAGAAAUUUGGAUUAAUACCCCAUGGUAUAUUAGAAUGGCAUCAUUUUAUUAUUAAAGUCGCAACGGUUCAAGAUGGGCAUGCGUCCCAUUAGCUAGAUGGUAAGGUAACGGCUUACCAUGGCUACGAUGGGUAGGGGUCCUGAGAGGGAGAUCCCCCACACUGGUACUGAGACACGGACCAGACUCCUACGGGAGGCAGCAGUGAGGAAUAUUGGUCAAUGGGCGCAAGCCUGAACCAGCCAUGCCGCGUGCAGGAUGAAGCAUCUAUGGUGUGUAAACUGCUUUUAUACGGGAAGAAACCCUGCCACGUGUGGCAGAUUGACGGUACCGUAGGAAUAAGGAUCGGCUAACUCCGUGCCAGCAGCCGCGGUAA